rnacentral:rRNA from 1 species
GCACAAGCGGUGGAGCAUGUGGUUUAAUUCGACGCAACGCGAAGAACCUUACCUGGGCUCGAAGCGCAGUGGACCGGGGUAGAAAUAUCCCUUCCCCUUAAAAGGCUGCUGCGGAGGUGCUGCAUGGCUGUCGUCAGCUCGUGUCGUGAGAUGUUGGGUUAAGUCCCGCAACGAGCGCAACCCUUAUCCCUAGUUGCCAUCGGGUCAAGCCGGGCACUCUAGUGAAACUGCCUGGGAUAACCAGGAGGAAGGUGGGGAUGACGUCAAGUCCUCAUGGCCUUUAUGUCCAGGGCUACACACGUGCUACAAUGGCCGGUACAAACCGUCGCAAACCCGUGAGGGGGAGCUAAUCGGAAAAAGCCGGCCUCAGUUCGGAUUGGAGUCUGCAACUCGACUCCAUGAAGCUGGAAUCGCUAGUAAUCGCGGAUCAGAACGCCGCGGUGAAUACGUUCCCGGGC